AUUUCUUCUGCAUUUAUAUAGUUUAAUAAAAAACAUUAUAUUUUCAUUGUAAAAUUAAACAAUUUGUUUUAUAA
rnacentral:tRNA from 1 species